GAGAGAGGGAGGCAGUUCAAGGAGAGGAGCUUUGCAAUUUAUUCAGCUGCCAGAGUGCAAGGAAGGCUCAAAAUGUUUAACACUGAUGGUCUAGCACCUGAGCUGGGGGUGGAAGCUAAAGGGAAGAGGAAAGAUGGCCGAAAGCGAUGUCAAAGAGGGCACAUCACUACACACAGACUUCACGGUAAUAGUUGGUGUACGGUCUACUUCAGAAAGGAAGGGAACAGAAUUGGGCAGCAUCAUGUGAGAAGAGACUCAAACGUACCACACUGCACUCUGCCCUGGAUAAAUGCAUAAUCUACUGACAGAGAGUCAGUUUUCCUCUUAACCACCCACAGUCACUACCACAAGCAAGAUGGAAAGCAAAGACCCUCUACAUUUGAUCCCAAAUUCAAUCAAAG